UUCUGAUACAUGUCAUCCACUGAAAGCAAAGACACCUGAGCAGACAAAGGAAUAUUUCUCAUCAAAGGAGACCUGCAUAAGACUUGUUGUAGGAACUGACGCCCAAUCACACACAAAGCAAAGAAGGAAUAGACAGCGAUGGUGACCACCUGUAGAGAAGCGGCUGUUAAACAUUUGCCAGGGUUUCAAGAGAGCAUCAUGGAACUAUGUUUUUCAUUGCAGAAACCAAAACAUUCUCCUACAGUACAGGAGCUCUGCACAUUAUGCGCUAGCAUGUCCUGCGCACCCUACCAAUUCAAAAACAAUUAAACUGGUACUUUCACAAA